AUACUUACCUGGUGUAGGGGUUACCGUGAUCAAUAAGGCGGUUCCCCCAGAGUGAGGCCUUUCCAUUGCACUACGGAGAGGCUGACCUCUGCGAUUAUCCCUAAUGCGGAUAACUCGGACACGUAAUUUUUGCUAGUAGUUGCUGUAGCAUAACUGG